rnacentral:rRNA from 1 species
GCACACAGAAGGAACUUGUUCCUUGGGUGGCGAGCGGCGGACGGGUGAGUAAUGCCUGGGAAAUUGCCCGGUAGAGGGGGAUAACCAUUGGAAACGAUGGCUAAUACCGCAUAACCUCGCAAGAGCAAAGCAGGGGACCUUCGGGCCUUGCGCUACCGGAUAUGCCCAGGUGGGAUUAGCUAGUUGGUGAGGUAAGGGCUCACCAAGGCGACGAUCCCUAGCUGGUCUGAGAGGAUGAUCAGCCACACUGGAACUGAGACACGGUCCAGACUCCUACGGGAGGCAGCAGUGGUCAAGAAUUUUUUCCUGAA